rnacentral:rRNA from 1 species
GAUGAACGCUGGCGGCGUGCCUAAUACAUGCAAGUCGAGCGAAUGGAUUAAGAGCUUGCUCUUAUGAAGUUAGCGGCGGACGGGUGUGUAACACGUGGGUAACCUGCCCAUAAGACUGGGAUAACUCCGGGAAACCGGGGCUAAUACCGGAUAACAUUUUGAACCGCAUGGUUCGAAAUUGAAAGGCGGCUUCGGCUGUCACUUAUGGAUGGACCCGCGUCGCAUUAGCUAGUUGGUGAGGUAACGGCUCACCAAGGCAACGAUGCGUAGCCGAGCUGAGAGGGUGAACGGACACGCUGGGACUGGGACACGGCCCAGACUCCUGCGGGAGGCAGCAGUAGGGAAUCUUCCGAAAUGGACGAAAGUCUGACGGAGCAACGCCGCGUGAGUGAUGAAGGCUUUCGGGUCGUAAAACUCUGUUGUUAGGGAAGAACAAGUGCUAGUUGAAUAAGCUGGCACCUUGACGGUACCUAACCAGAAAGCCACGGCUAACUACGUGCCAGCAGCCGCAGUAA